UAUAAGCAAUCUAUACUGUGAAACUGCGAAUGGCUCAUUAAAUCAGUUAUCGUUUAUUUGAUAGUACCUUACUACUUGGAUAACCGUGGUAAUUCUAGAGCUAAUACAUGCUAAAAACCCCGACUUCGGAAGGGGUGUAUUUAUUAGAUAAAAAACCAAUGCCCUUCGGGGCUCCUUGGUGAAUCAUGAUAACUUAACGAAUCGCAUGGCCUUGCGCCGGCGAUGGUUCAUUCAAAUUUCUGCCCUAUCAACUUUCGAUUGUAGGAUAGUGGCCUACAAUGGUUUCAACGGGUAACGGGGAAUUAGGGUUCUAUUCCGGAGAGGGAGCCUGAGAAACGGCUACCACAUCCAAGGAAGGCAGCAGGCGCGCAAAUUACCCAAUCCCGAUACGGGGAGGUAGUGACAAUAAAUACUGAUACAGGGCUCUUUUGGGUCUUGUAAUUGGAAUGAGUACAAUUUAAAUACCUUAACGAGGAACAAUUGGAGGGCAAGUCUGGUGCCAGCAGCCGCGGUAAUUCCAGCUCCAAUAGCGUAUAUUAAAGUUGUUGCAGUUAAAAAGCUCGUAGUUGAACCUUGGGCCUGGCUGGCCGGUCUGCCUCACCGCAUGUACUGGUUCGGCCGGGUCUUUCCUCCUGGGGAUCCGCAUGCCCUUCACUGGGUGUGUUGGGGAACCAGGACUUUUACUUUGAAAAAAUUAGAGUGUUCAAAGCAGGCCUUUGCUCGAAUACAUUAGCAUGGAAUAAUAGAAUAGGACGUGCGGUCCUAUUUUGUUGGUUUCUAGGACCGCCGUAAUGAUUAAUAGGGAUAGUCGGGGGCAUCAGUAUUCAGUUGUCAGAGGUGAAAUUCUUGGAUUUACUGAAGACUAACUACUGCGAAAGCAUUUGCCAAGGAUGUUUUCAUUAAUCAGUGAACGAAAGUUAGGGGAUCGAAGACGAUCAGAUACCGUCGUAGUCUUAACCGUAAACUAUGCCGACUAGGGAUCGGGCGAUGUUAUUCUUUUGACUCGCUCGGCACCUUACGAGAAAUCAAAGUCUUUGGGUUCU
rnacentral:rRNA from 2 species